GCCUGGGUGGCUCAGUGGUUGAGCAUCUGCCUUUGGCUCAGGUUGUGAUCUCGAGGUCCUGGGAUCGAGUCCCACAUCAGGCU
rnacentral:tRNA from 1 species